rnacentral:tRNA from 1 species
GUUUAAAUAGUUUAAUAAAAAUGUUGGUUUGUGGGGCCAAAGAUAUAUGGAUAAAGUAUUUUGAACA